GACGAACGCUGGCGGCGUGCUUAACACAUGCAAGUCGAGCGAAGAAGCACCUUCGGGUGUGAAUUAGCGGCGAACGGGUGAGGAACACGUGAGAAAUCUGCCUUCAACUCUGGGAUAACUCCGUGAAAACGGGGCUAAUACCGAAUAUGAAACCUGCGGGCAUCCGCGGGUUUGGAAAGUUUUUCGGUUGAAGAUGAUCUCGCGGCCUAUCAGCUUGUUGGUGAGGUAAUGGCUCACCAAGGCGACGACGGGUAGCCGGCCUGAGAGGGCGACCGGCCACACUGGGACUGAGACACGGCCCAGACUCCUACGGGAGGCAGCAGUGGGGAAUAUUGGGCAAUGGAGGAAACUCUGACCCAGCGACGCCGCGUGCGGGAUGAAGGCCUUCGGGUUGUAAACCGCUUUCAGCAGGGAAGAAGCGAAAGUGACGGUACCUGCAGAAGAAGCACCGGCUAACUAUGUGCCAGCCGCCGCAGUAA
rnacentral:rRNA from 1 species